UUUCACCCUAAAUCCGCCAUUUUCCCGAUUUCUUUUAGAGACAUAUGAGGUCGCGCGAUAUCCAAUAGGACGAGUCUAAUGUGGUCCCGUGACUCAAACGUCACUAAUGGUGGCUAGUUACGCCGCCUUGCUUAAUUGAAGUUUGUUUCUAGCAGGGAAGCAGAUAUUUAGCAAAGUACGAAAAGACAUUUUUUGUUAUAAACAUAUAAAUCGGAGACCAAAAGCGAAGAGCAAGAGGAAAGCAAACAAAAUGAGUUUGAGGUUGUGUGCGGCUCUGACGUCACAAAGAGACGGUAAAGACUUGAAGCGAGGCAAGCGGCCAGAAGAAAAACGCAUGUUCUGGACAGACCGUGAAGUUUAGAUCCACGUAUUCUGCGGUACAGAAGGUCCAGCUCAGCGUUCAUCAACCACGCCCACACCAGCUGGUGCAGGACGAUGGGCAGCUUGGCGUCGGUGUUCUCCAGCAGCGCUAUGUCGCUCUCCUCGUACACGGGCAGAGGAGCGCCGUCGUCCAGCUGCUUCUGGAAGUGCAGGCGCUUGCCGCGGCCGCUGGCCUCGGCACGCUCCAGGAUCUCCUUCUCGGCCCGGCGCAGCUUUACGGCCAUGCGCGAGUGCGGAGAGAGGUCGGGUUUCUGCAGCAUGGCGCCGUCCUCCUGAAACACACGCGUCACAAAAGCACUGACACUGGAGACUCCUUCCACACAUGCCGUGGUAAUAAAUUUGACCAGGAGGCGAACGUGCUGCUGCCGUACCUCUGACGUGGAUUUGUAGGUCUUGAGGAGCAGCGCGGCUCUCGUCUCCAGGAACGUCCACAGCUUGAUCUCGUUCUCCCAGCUGACGGGGAACUCCGCGUUCCCCAGCGUGAAGAUCUUGUUGAUGGCGUGGUCACCCACCAAGUAGUCCCGGAGUUCCUCUGAAAGGAGACGAGACAUAAAGCUGUGCCGUGCGAAUCUGUCGCCAGCAGCCGUGUCACGCUCCUCUUACCUUCGGUCAUGCAGAAGACGCGCAGGAAGGCCAGGAGCUGGGCUGAAAUGGGCGGCUCGCUGCAGUGCAGGGCGAAAACGCUCGACCUGCAGAGAAUAAAACAAUUUAAACAAAGAUCAAAUAACGACUACAGGGGUCUGCGGUGUCAGAGGGAAAGCUGGUCGAAUGAACCCGAGUGCAUCUUGGAGACUCGGUCAGCUAAACCUCAUCGAAAAGGUCCCGGACAGGCGAAAGCAGAACUUUUUCCAAGCGCAAGGAUCGCAGCCCGUAGUUUCUGCAGGUUGUGAUCCUUGUAGGAAAAGACAGAAAAUCAACUUUACAGAUACAUUAGAAAUUCACCGGCAUCAUUUCAGUCCCGCUCUUCCACACCCCACUCACGUAUUCCCGCUCCGUAUAUACAACAACAUCCACAACACUUAUAGAUAGUGAAAAUAGGAGAGGAGGACAGAUAAAGAGAGAGAGAGAGAGGAGAGCUCAGUACUGAUGUUAAAUCAGGGAUCAAACAGCUUGGCACGGUGAGACACGCGCGCACACACACCCUCGUCCCCGUCCCACGCGGCGGCCUGCGCAAACUCUUCCUCCCUCCCUCGGCUGCCUUCGUCAAUCUUAUCAAAUAAUUCACAUUUCACAGAAGAGGGGGAGAUUGGGCGUCCGGGAGUCCACCUGGCCUGUCAGUGUUCACCCUGCGUAUCCUCCCUCCGGCUGGGGCUCGACGCCUCGCCUCUGAUAUUACCCACGAGCCCCUGUAAUGGCCGACGGCUGAUAAGCGCGUCAUGCGGCCUUGAGGGAAACCGAAAAACUUCCCUUUUUUUUUUUUUUUUUUUUGAUCGGAUUGGACAGCCGGAUAUUUCUCGAUGAGCCGUGGAGGAUUUCACGACAACAGACUGCAUCAGAUCGCAUCAGAUCUCACUCACCUGCUCGCUCUCUUUAUAGUCGUGCAGAGCAACACACUCACAUCGGUCAUCUUCCAGGUUGUAACCGGUCGUAAUCUAAAAGGGGAAGAAAAGAAAAAAAAAAAAAAAAAGUGUUGAAAUGGAGUGUAAACAUAAUAAUAAUAAAAAUCGUGAUGAUCUCCCACCCCGCCCCGCGCGCUACAAGAAGGAAAGAAAUAAUCACGUUAAGACGCUUGAAAACAUUUUUAAAACAUCACCCGCUAAAUUAAAUCAUAAACAAACGGAUACGAAUCGAACGAUUAUAAAAAAAAGGAAUUCAUAAAAUUUAAUCAAACUUAGCCAAUUUGUCGCAACUUCACGAUAAACAAGAUUAUUACUGAGCGGGGAAAAAAAGCCUUUUUAUUAAACCUUAACCAGGGGAAUUCUAAAAAGCAAUUUCAUUAAGCAUCCUAAUAACGCCUAUUUUCAGCAAUCCAAAUCAUGAAAUUCAGCGUAGGGUUUAAACGCAUUUCCCACACACACACACACACACACACACACAGACACACAGAGCCAUAUAUUGCUCUGUGGCGCGAGGCGCUGAACGCAAUCAAAGCCAAAUUAUUCAAAUAGAAAUAAAAUAUCCCUCGAGAUCCUGGUACAAUCAGCAGGAAAAGCAUGUUACUUUAGAGCUUUUUCUUCAAAAUGUGUGGUCUCACACACAC